UUUACCGUGCCAAAGGUAGCAUAAUCAAUUGUUUUUUAAUUGAAGGCUUGAAUGAAUGGUUGUAUGAGAUAUAAACUAUUUUUAUUUUAAUAAAAUGAAUUUAAAAUUUUAGUAAAAAUGCUAAAAUUAAAAUAUUAGACGAGAAGACCCUAUAGAUCUUUAUUUAAAUUUUUAUUUAAAAAUAUUGAAUAAUUUAUUUUAAUUUAAAAUUUAAAUUUUAUUGGGGCGAUAAUGAAAUUUUAAAAACUUUUAUUUAAAAUAAUAAAAAUAAUUAAUUUUUUGAUCCAUUAAUAAUGAUUAAAAGUUUAAGUUACCUUAGGGAUAACAGCAUAAUUAUUUUAAAAAGUUCUUAUUAAUAAAAUAGAUUAUGACCUCGAGGUACAAUGAGAUAAGUGUAUCCAAAGUGACGACGCCAA
rnacentral:rRNA from 1 species